rnacentral:rRNA from 1 species
CAGCCGCCGCGGUAAUACAUAGGUGCAAGCGUUGUCCGGAUUAUUGGGCGUAAAGAGCUCGUAGGUGGUUCGUCACGUCGGAUGUGAAAAUCUGGGGCUUAACCCCAGACCUGCAUUCGAUACGGGCGAGCUAGAGUGUGGUAGGGGAGACUGGAAUUCCUGGUGUAGCGGUGGAAUGCGCAGAUAUCAGGAGGAACACCAAUGGCGAAGGCAGGUCUCUGGGCCAUUACUGACACUGAGGAGCGAAAGCGUGGGGAGCGAACAGGAUUAGAUACCCUGGUAGUCCACGCCGUAAACGGUGGGCACUAGUUGUGGGAACCUUCCACGGUUUCUGCGACGCAGCUAACGCAUUAAGUGCCCCGCCUGGGGAGUACGAUCGCAAGAUUAAAACUCAAAGGAAUUGACGGGGCCCCGCACAAGCAGCGGAGCAUGCGGCUUAAUUCGACGCAACGCGAAGAACCUUACCAAGGCUUGACAUAUACAGGAAUAUGGCAGAGAUGUCAUAGCCGCAAGGUCUGUAUACAGGUGGUGCAUGGUUGUCGUCAGCUCGUGUCGUGAGAUGUUGGGUUAAGUCCCGCAACGAGCGCAACCCUCGUUCUGUGUUGCCAGCAUUAAGUUGGGGACUCACAGGAGACUGCCGGGGUUAACUCGGAGGAAGGUGGGGAUGACGUCAAAUCAUCAUGCCCCUUAUGUCUUGGGCUGCACGCAUGCUACAAUGGCUGGUACAAACGGCUGCGAUACCGCAAGGUGGAGCGAAUCCGAAAAAGCCAGUCUCAGUUCGGAUUGGGGUCUGCAACUCGACCCCAUGAAGUCGGAGUUGCUAGUAAUCGUAGAUCAGCAACGCUACGGUGAAUACGUCCCGGGCUU